UAAGCGGAGGAAAAGAAACUAACAAGGAUUCCCCUAGUAACGGCGAGUGAACAGGGAAGAGCUCAAAUUUGAAAUCUGGCGUGCUCAGCGCGUCCGAGUUGUAAUCUAUAGAGACGUUUUCCGUGCCGGACCGUGUCCAAGUUCCUUGGAACAGGAUAUCAAAGAGGGUGACAAUCCCGUACUUGACACGACGACCGGUGCCCUGUGAUACGUCCUCUACGAGUCGAGUUGUUUGGGAAUGCAGCUCAAAACGGGUGGUGAGUUCCAUCUAAAGCUAAAUAUUGGCGAGAGACCGAUAGCGAACAAGUACCGUGAGGGAAAGAUGAAAAGCACUUUGGAAAGAGAGUUAAACAGUACGUGAAAUUGUUGAAAGGGAAACGAUUGAAGUCAGUCGUGUCCGGGGGGGUUCAGCCGGUUCUGCCGGUGUAUUCCCCCUCGGAUGGGUCAACAUCAGUUCCGUCCGGUGGAUAAUGGCGUCGGGGAGGUGGUUCCCCCAGGGGUCCUUUAUAACCCGUCGUCGCAUACAUCGGUCGGGACUGAGGAAUGCAGCUCGCCUUCACAGGCCGGGGUUCGCCCACGUUCGAGCUUAGGAUGUUGACGUAAUGGCUUUAAACGACCCGUCUUGAAACAC
rnacentral:rRNA from 1 species